rnacentral:ncRNA from 2 species
UGUACAUUGAGAAGUGCUGGUUCGACCCAUCGUCAGGUGGGUCGUCGCAAGAGGGAAUUCCGGUGAGAGGCCGGAGCUGUCCCGCAGCGGUAUAUGGGAACAACGCCACAACGGGCACUGGGCCGCUCGGCCUGGGAAGCGGUGGCGUAGGAACCGGGAGCGAUCCCGAAUGCCCAUGAGCCCGAAGACCUGCCAGCCGCAGCAGCGCCAG